CUCCAGACAUGCUUGCCGUCUCAGUUGAUGGAAACCGUAAGCUUUAUCGCUUUCAAUCUAAUGCAAGCACUUCAGAGCAGGGGAACUUUGAAGGUGUCUUCAUUGAAAAAGAUGAGGACGUUGCUGAGUUUGUGAAAUACAUCCAGAGACACACAAAUCAUGUCCCGGGGAAAGGGUUGUGCGGAUCUUCAUCUUGGACUGCAGCAAAGGAGUCGUCCAAAAAGUCCACUGGGAAGUUGGAUGAAGAGGGCAUGGAAAUAGCU